rnacentral:rRNA from 1 species
GCCCUGGCAGUCAGAGGCGAUGAAGGACGUGCUAAUCUGCGAUAAGCGUCGGUAAGGUGAUAUGAACCGUUAUAACCGGCGAUUUCCGAAUGGGGAAACCCAGUGUGUUUCGACACACUAUCAUUAACUGAAUCCAUAGGUUAAUGAGGCGAACCGGGGGAACUGAAACAUCUAAGUACCCCGAGGAAAAGAAAUCAACCGAGAUUCCCCCAGUAGCGGCGAGCGAACGGGGAGCAGCCCAGAGCCUGAAUCAGUGUGUGUGUUAGUGGAAGCGUCUGGAAAGGCGCGCGAUACAGGGUGACAGCCCCGUACACAAAAAUGCACAUGCUGUGAGCUCGAUGAGUAGGGCGGGACACGUGGUAUCCUGUCUGAAUAUGGGGGGACCAUCCUCCAAGGCUAAAUACUCCUGACUGACCGAUAGUGAACCAGUACCGUGAGGGAAAGGCGAAAAGAACCCCGGCGAGGGGAGUGAAAAAGAACCUGAAACCGUGUACGUACAAGCAGUGGGAGCACGCUUAGGCGUGUGACUGCGUACCUUUUGUAUAAUGGGUCAGCGACUUAUAUUCUGUAGCAAGGUUAACCGAAUAGGGGAGCCGAAGGGAAACCGAGUCUUAACUGGGCGUUAAGUUGCAGGGUAUAGACCCGAAACCCGGUGAUCUAGCCAUGGGCAGGUUGAAGGUUGGGUAACACUAACUGGAGGACCGAACCGACUAAUGUUGAAAAAUUAGCGGAUGACUUGUGGCUGGGGGUGAAAGGCCAAUCAAACCGGGAGAUAGCUGGUUCUCCCCGAAAGCU